rnacentral:rRNA from 1 species
UACAGAGGUCUCAAGCGUUGUUCGGAUUCAUUGGGCGUAAAGGGUGCGUAGGCGGCGCGGUAAGUCGGGUGUGAAAUCUCGGAGCUUAACUCCGAAACUGCAUUCGAUACUGCCGUGCUUGAGGACUGGAGAGGAGACUGGAAUUUACGGUGUAGCGGUGAAAUGCGUAGAUAUCGUAAGGAAGACCAGUGGCGAAGGCGGGAUCCUGGGCCAGUGCUGACGCUGAGGAGCGAAAGCGUGGGGAGCAAACAGG